UGUUUAAAUUAAUUUUCAUAAAUUAUAAAAUACUGUUAAAAUGAGUGAAUUAGAAUAAAGAUAAAUAUUUUCACAAACUGUACACCUCCAUGUAACCAGAAUCUGAAUAAAUAUAAGUAAGAAUAACCAACAGUCAAGAGGCCCUCCCAUUCUCCCCUCAUCAGAGUAAUCACUAUCAUUUAUCUAACACCAUAAGUUUAUCUUGCUAGUUGUUGAAUUUUAUACAAAUGGAAUCCUAUAGUAUAUAUUGUGUCAAAUCAUAAAUGCAUGCUUUUCUGCACUGUCAUUUGCACACUCAACACUACAUAUUUUGAUUUUUUUUCUUAUGGGUUUUCAUAUACUUACAAUGAGGCUGUAUCAUUUUGAUUAUAAAAUCACUAAAUACUCUUUCAAAUAAAAUCUCUACCUCAUUGGCAUAUUGUCAUGUACCCAGUGCCUAUCUAAUGAAUCCAAGUGUGUUCCAGUUGUGACUUUCAAAUUUUUCUGCUCAGCCACAGCUUUCUCACAGGUGCUUCAUGGUAGGCCAAGUGAAUGAAUUGUGGAAGACAAAUGCAUAGGUAUAGUAUGAUCCCAACACGCUGCACAAUGAUCAUCCACUGAUUUCUUGGCUUGUUUUUUAAAAUAGAUUCCAUUUUGAGAAUACUGAGAUGAUUCAGUAUAUUCAGAAAUACAACUUGGGCAAACCUUCUUGCCAGACCUUGAUCCUGGAGGUUUGCUUAAGGAUU
rnacentral:lncRNA from 10 species